AAAGCCCGAUCCAGCGUAAUAGAUUAACUUUAUUUGUAAACACAAAUUAAGAAAUAAUCCGAACUCAUUCCUUAAUAAAAAAAAAUUUCUACAUACGAUUGUUAAAUUCUUGCAGUACACUGGACCUUGAUAUUUUUUCUUUCUUUCUUUUGUUGGUGAGAUAAUUUGUUAAGCAAAGGAUUGCAUAUCUUCCUUUUCUUUUCUUCUUCUUCUUCUUGUAUAAUAAUGGUAUAAUAAAGAAUGAAGGAAAAGACAACCAGACUGAUCAAGCCUGCAACAUCAAACGAACACCUGCAGGAGGAUCCUCCCAGAUAACUUCAUAUCGAGUUCAUCCCAUUGUAGCAAGAAAACCAGCAUAUUGAUUAGCCUCAUACAAUGCAAAUGCAUCUGUCAUGAAGCAUAUACACUUUCACUUUCCUGGUAGAUCAUACGAGGGAUAAGAAUCAGCAACAGAAUU
rnacentral:lncRNA from 1 species